rnacentral:rRNA from 1 species
GACGAACGCUGGCGGCGUGCCUAAUACAUGCAAGUAGAACGCACAGUUUAUACCGUAGCUUGCUACACCAUAGACUGUGAGUUGCGAACGGGUGAGUAACGCGUAGGUAACCUGCCUGGUAGCGGGGGAUAACUAUUGGAAACGAUAGCUAAUACCGCAUAAUAUUGAUUAUUGCAUGAUAAUUGAUUGAAAGAUGCUAUUGCAUCACUACCAGAUGGACCUGCGUUGUAUUAGCUAGUAGGUGAGGUAACGGCUCACCUAGGCGACGAUACAUAGCCGACCUGAGAGGGUGAUCGGCCACACUGGGACUGAGACACGGCCCAGACGCCUACGGGAGGCAGCAGGAGGGAAUCUUCGGCAAUGGACGAAAGUCUGACCGAGCAACGCCGCGGGAGGGAAGAAGGGUUUCGGAUCGUAAAGCUCGGUUGUAAGGGAAGAACGGGUGCGAGAGUGGAAAGUUCACACUGUGACGGUAUCUUACCAGAAAGGGACGGCUAACUACGUG